rnacentral:rRNA from 1 species
UGAAUACGAGACGCUAAGGCGUCGAAGUAGUGUAUGUCAUACUUCCAAGAAAAGCUUGCACUGUCAUAGAUAAAAAACGCCUGUACCAUAACCGACACAGGUGGGUAGGUAGAGUAUACUAAGGGGCGCGAGAUAACUCUCUCUAAGGAACUCGGCAAAAUAACUCCGUAACUUCGGGAGAAGGAGUGCCUUAUUCGUAAGGUUGCAAUAACAAGAUCCAAGCAACUGUUUAUCAAAAACACAGGUCUCCGCUAAGUCGUAAGACGAUGUAUGGGGGCUGACGCCUGCCCAGUGCCAGAAGGUUAAAGAAGUUGGUUAGCAAUUGCGAAGCUGAUAACUGAAGCCCUGGUGAACGGCGGCCGUAACGAUAACGGUCCUAAGGUAGCGAAAUUCCUUGUCGGGUAAGUUCCGACCCGCACGAAAGGCGUAAUGAUUUGGAUACUGUCUCGGAGAGGGGCUCGGUGAAAUAGACUUGUCUGUGAAGAUGCGGACUACCUGCACCAGGACAGAAAGACCCUAUGAAGCUUUACUGUAACUUGAAAUUGAAAUUGGACUUUAUUCGCGCAGUAUAGGUGGGAGGCGUUGAUUAUAAUCUUGUGGGAUUAUUGGAGCCAUCAGUGAGAUACCACUCUUGUAAUGUUAGAUUUCUAACUUUGAAUCAUUAUCUGGUCAAAGAACAGUUUCAGGCGGGCAGUUUGACUGGUGCGGUCGCCUCCUAAACGGUAACGGAGGCGUACAAAGGUUUCCUCUGAACGGUUAGAAAUCGUAUCUAGAGUGUAAAGGCAUAAGGAAGCUUGACUGUGAGACCUACAAGUCGAGCAGGGACGAAAGUCGGUCUUAGUGAUCUGACGGUACUGAGUGGAAAGGCCGUCACUCAACGGAUAAAAGUUACUCUAAGGAUAACAGGCUGAUCUCCCCCAAGAGUUCACAUCGACGGGGAGGUUUGGCACCUCGAUGUCGGCUCAUCGCAUCCUGGGGCGGUAGUACGUCCCAAGGGUUGGGCUGUUCGCCCAUGAAAGCGGUACGCGAGCUGGGUUCAGAACGUCGUGAGACAGUUCGGUCCAUAUCCGGUGUAGGCGUUAGAAUAUUGAGAGGAGCCUUCUUUAGUACGAGAGGACCGAGAAGGACAUACCUCUGGUGUACCAGUUAUCGUGCCAACGGUAAACGCUGGGUAGCUAUGUAUGGAGUGGAUAACCGCUGAAAGCAUCUAAGUGGGAAGCCCACCUCAAGAUAAGUAUUCUCAGC